rnacentral:rRNA from 1 species
GUCCACGCCCUAAACGAUGGCAACUGGGUGUUGGGGAAGCGAUUUCUCAGUACCGUAGCUAACGCGUGAAGUUGCCCGCCUGUGGAGUACGGCCGCAAGGUUAAAACUCAAAGGAAUUGACGGGGACCCGCACAAGCGGUGGAUGAUGUGGAUUAAUUCGAUGCAACGCGAACAACCUUACCUACCCUUGACAUGUCCGGAAGCCCGCCGAGAGGCGGGCGUGCCCGAAAGGGAAUCGGAACACAGGUGCUGCAUGGCUGUCGU